AGAGCGAACGCUGGCGGCAGGCCUAACACAUGCAAGUCGAGCGCCCGUAGCAAUACGGGAGCGGCAGACGGGAGAGUAACACGUGGGAACGUACCCUUCAGUUCGGAAUAACCCAGGGAAACUUGGACUAAUACCGAAUACGUCCGUAAGGAGAAAGAUUUAUCGCUGAAGGAUCGGCCCGCGUCUGAUUAGCUUGUUGGUGAGGUAACGGCUCACCAAGGCGACGAUCAGUAGCUGGUCUGAGAGGAUGAUCAGCCUCACUGGGACUGAGACACGGCCCAGACUCCUACGGGAGGCAGCAGUGGGGAAUAUUGGACAAUGGGCGCAAGCCUGAUCCAGCCAUGCCGCGUGGAUGAUGAAGGCCCUAGGGUUGUAAAGUCCUUUCGACGGGGAAGAUAAUGACGGUACCGUAGAAGAAGCCCCGGCUAACUUCGUGCCAGCAGCCGC
rnacentral:rRNA from 1 species